rnacentral:rRNA from 1 species
UACGUAGGGGGCGAGCGUUGUCCGGAUUUAUUGGGCGUAAAGAGCGUGUAGGCGGCCAGGUAGGUCGGUUGUGAAAACUGGAGGCUUAACCUUCAGACGUCGACCGAAACCAUCUGGCUAGAGUCCGGAAGAGGAGAGUGGAAUUCCUGGUGUAGCGGUGAAAUGCGCAGAUAUCAGGAAGAACACCCGUGGCGAAGGCGGCUCUCUGGGCCGAUACUGACGCUGAGGAGCGAAAGCGUGGGGAGCAAACAGG